rnacentral:rRNA from 1 species
UACGUAGGUGGCAAGCGUUGUCCGGAUUUACUGGGCGUAAAGAGCGCGCAGGCGGUCUUGUAAGUCGAAUGUGAAAGCCCCUGGCUCAACUGGGGAGGGUCACGCGAUACUGCUCGACUUGAAGGCAGGAGAGGGAAGUGGAAUUCCCGGUGUAGUGGUGAAAUGCGUAGAUAUCGGGAGGAACACCAGUGGCGAAGGCGGUUGCCUGGGGCUUUGCUGACGCUGAUGCGCGAAAGCGUGGGGAGCGAUCCGG